UCAGAGUACACUUGGACUAGGACAUACUGGAAUUUAAAAAGUGAUGAGCAGGGAAAAGACCACUGAUGAAAACUAUUGUGAAUUAAUGUGCAUCUGAUGGCUUCUAGGAUAUAUGCAUCUUAGAGGAAUAAAGGUGGCAAGGCAGAGCACAGAAAAGUGCUUCUUCUGCAUGAAAAAUAUAAGUCUUGUGGAAUAUCAAACACAUGUGUAAACCAAAACUCAGUAAGCAUUCAAUGUGUAUUUAAUUUGGAAAUAAUGAAUUCUACUGUGGUCACAGUAUCUGCUGGAUGUUGAAACACUGAAGAGCAUUUUUAUAAGAAAACACACGCACCCCAAAAAACCAUGUUUCUGUCUGUCAUGAUUUAUAGUAAUGUCUGAGAAUACACUGGAAACUUGAUGCUCAUCUAUUCUUUCCAUUACUAUCAAUACCCAUCAAGUCAAAUAAGUUAUUUUACUAUGCAAAAAUCAGUGUCUUAUGAAGCAGUGUUUGGUCCACAUAGGAUUAAAUGAAGUUGAUGAAUGUCAACUAAACUUAGAAAUAAUACAGACAGGGGAAAAUAAUUUUCACAAUUAGAUUUAAAUUCUACAUCUUAAUUGUACUGUUGGUCACCAAAAUCUACUUCUGUGCAGUGGGUUUGGAAUGUUCUAUAUGGGAGCCACUUCUUAAUGUCUAUGAUGACAGUGUGAUUGUAAGCAUCUUAUUCUAGGAAUAAUUCCUCCUAUCCCUGCAUAAAUCCCUAUCUAUUUGUCUGUCUUAUUAUCUAACUCAUUUUAUCAUAUAAAUGAUAAUCACAAAGCUUCCCACUGCACUGUUAAUAAACCCACUUGACAGAGUCUGAAAUAAAUCAGAUGAUAAAUAGACCUUAAACCUUAACUAACCUGCCAAGACUUUAGACAAAGCAUGAAGCUCAAAGGUGGGGGACGUGGAAACUGCAGUGAAUUGCAGAACUCGGUAUUGCUUCUCACUUGUGCCCUGGCAACACCUCAGGCCAAGACUAAAGCAUCUACUGCCACAGCCUUUAUCUGCAUUCCCUGAAAGGAAAUAAAGGGGGGCAAUCAAGAUCUAGCAGCAAACUGGCACAUGACAGAUGACUGAUGGACCUGCGUCUCAGCAAAUAUACAGAGAUACAUUGCAAGGAUGAGACACACCCUGUAGUUAAGCAGAAGAUAAGUUCUCUUUAACAACCUCUCUUUUGGUGACUGCAGAACAGCUAUUGAAAUCCAAGACAACAAUAAAUUCAGCUCAUACGAACAAAGUUGUAGUAAGUAUUUUGUUGACAGAACAAAACUGGAAACAAACAAAUGAAAAAAGACUAACUUUCUUGGACCUGUGACAGUUAGUACUAAGUGUCUUCUCAUCAACUUUCAAACUUUAAAAUUAACAUAAAGAGUCAAGCCCCAUUUUUUGACAGAUUCUUCUGCAGUGGAGUGCCUUGAGCAACUGUAAACCCAACCACUAUGUCAGAUCCUAGUCAUGUCAUUUAUGAAGACAAUAAUAAGCUCCACAGUGUCAAUGAGAAAGGGCAAGUUGCUGAAAAGAAAAAGUAAAUGUAAAUCCUUAAAUUGGGUGUGUCAACACAUUUUUUCUGAUACCAUCUUAGCUUGUUUUUCAUUCUAAGACUUUAGUCUUAUUAUUCAAAUCAUUCAAGUACGCAUGCAUAUUUGAGGAGUCAUGGGAUUCCACCACCGAUUGCUGGUAUCUGUCCUUCAAAUCUGUCACUGAAAAGGUAAAGGUGAACACAACACCUCUGCAACCUUGUCUGCCAAAGCAUAUAUUUGUAGUUUCCUCCUAGGAUGCCUCCAGAAACUACCAAUGUCUAGGACAGAACAGAAAUUUAGGAAUUACUCUGCAUUCUUAGCUUUGAUAUAUGUGACUCCCAAAAAGGGAACACAGAGAUCCUGAGGCAGCCUCCUUCUUAUGGAUCUCAGCUGAUUUUUUUGCUGUCACAGCAGCUGCAGACAGCUUGCUUGGACAGCAAGGAUGAGAGAUGAGUCAGACCUCUCUAUGCAUCAGGAAGUUUCCUCAUGCCCAACACUUCUGAAGACUGAAUGAUGCAGAUAGGGUAGUUUGUACCAGAGGAGUUAUCAUAUUGCGACAAAAAAACUAUGUAGGUAGCUUUUGAAGGAAAAAAAUGGCUUCUACCAAAGUGCAGGGUAGAUGGAAUUGCUAUCAGCAAUGUAUCUACAAGGUCAGAGGCUCCUGGGUCUGACGUCUCAAGCAUGAAUCCCAACCUGACCAAUUAGUGCAGUGAUAUCUUGAAUCACAAAUGGCUCACUCUUUUUAUUGACUGGAAAGUUUAGGACAAUAAGUCUUUCCUUAGACACCUUCAACAAUAACGUAGGCUCCUAAUUUAGACACUCAUAAAGAAUGUUAAAACUUAUCAUAUUACUCAUAGUUCAAAAUACAAAUUCAUGUAAUGCUUAUACAGUAUGUUUGCUGUCUGCCUAAUGUUUAUUCAAAACCCUUUCCCACUGCAGCUGGGAAUGCUGUUUCUAACCACCAAAGACGAGUGCAGAACACUGGGGAUGUAGAACAAUUGGCAUUGUUAAAGGUAACAGGGAGAGCUUUCAUCCAAAACAUACUAUGCAUCCCACAGAUGCUGGUGUAGCUCCCAGCACUGGUCGUGAUAAAUGAUGUACAAAAUGAGUGAAUACUGAGACACAGCCACACAUAAAAAAGGGGAGCUAAGCGGAAUUCCUUGACAGCAAGAGACAACUGAUUUUAUGAAGAGAACAGGUAUGGCAUUUAUUUUUUCCUUUACUACUUUUCUUUUACUUUAAACUUUGGGACUUAUUUUUGACUCCCUCAGGAUGGUCUCUUUCAAGACAGAAAGCUAAUUUCCUCAUGUCUAGGAUGGGGUUAUAUAGGUACAGAUAGUGAUUAAGAGCAUGUAAAGGUGCCCUUGUAAAUAUGUCCUGCACUUUUGAGAAAGUGCUGUGCAUUUGUGUUUGGUAUUUGGAAGGGAUCUCUUGUUCCCUGUGACUUACUGCUACUCCAUCAUGAUAGCUAGCAUAUUCCUAGUUUUCCUCCUUUCACUUUUAUCUGUUCAUGUACUUUCCCAGUUUCAAAUUGUCCGAGUUGUCCUAAAGAGCAUCUCUGUUGUUUGAAAGGGUGUGCAGGUUUUCCAAACUAACCUGUCUCAUAUAUUGAACUGUGUAAAGAACAUUUGCAACUAAUUGAAAACACGCAUACACUUCACAGAUGAAUGCCUCAGUCAUUAUCUUUCAAUUAUGAAUCUUGGCUCCCUCUGUUGUUCAAUACCUGGUUUUGAAACCACCUUCAAACCCUGGCUGACAAGCUCAGUAGUUUGUGUAAGAUCUGGAAGAUGAAGAAGAACACUUCUGAAUUUUGGCUCAGAAUUAUGUCAGAUCUUAAUUAUGGGGAAACAUAAAUAUUAUGGUCUACACUGACUAGAGUAGGCAAACAUUUAAUUAGAAUAGGCAUAAUCAUCUCAGAAGCACCAGAGUGUGAAAGCAGGAAUCAUAAUUUUGCAAUAUCUUGUACCAGGCUCUGAUCUAGCCCCAGCAAAAAUAGAAGAAUUUCUAAAGGAAAUCAUAGACCUUUAUCAACCCUGUUCUUAGUUUCUGACUCAAACAGUGCUGAGUGACUAUUAAAGUGUCACUCACUGACAUUGAUCCAGGAGUCACUGAGGACAUUUUAAACUCACUUCAAUACAUAUUAUAGUUGAUCCACUUUAUCAGAAGUGGUAGCCUUCAGCAACCAUGAGAAUAUACAGAUUCUAAAACCUUCAAGAGUUGCUUGCUUUAACAUUCUUACUGUUGGUGUUAAAGUGUUUUUCUUCAGAAAAAGUGUUUCUAUUUAUGCAAUUGCUAAUAAAUAUCUGGGAAUUUUCUAAUGAAAACAUUUUUCUUUUAAUUUUUGUUGAAAGCAAUUAGAGUAGAUGGAGAAAUGCAAGUAUUCACAACUAUGUCUUAAACAGGAAGAAAAACAGACUUUUACAUUAUUAAAGUAUUAUGCUUUAACAUUUUCAAGUUUUAAUUUCUUGUUUCAAGUUUUAGUUAUUUGGUUGAAAUAUCAUUUCACUUUUGAAUUUAUUUCAUUUUAGCAAAAAAUAAGAUUAUAGAUUUUAAAAUUAAUUGACCAGAUAAAAAAUUGUUAGAGAUUACCAGUUCAUGAAUUUUUUUUAUGUGUAAUUUUUAUUUUUGUAGAAUUCAGGAUUCUUCUGGGCCAGUGAAAAAAAAAAAACCAAAAACUAUAUAACUAUAUAUAUAUUUAAAUGGUUUACAGAUAAGAAUAGAAAGGUUAAUACAUUAAUCAAGAUUUUUCCUAUUUAUUUUCAUAGACUACAGUCUCACUGAUUCAUGUGUUUUCUUUCAGUCCUGAGAAACUAGAAAUAGGAGUAUGAUUCCUCUGUUCAAUUUCUAUCAAUAAUUAUAGGCCUCUGUGUAAAAUAUCACACUACUUUUAUCAUAAUUGACACUUUUUGCUCCUCUAAAGCUUGUUGAGAGGAAGAAGAGCUUAAGUAUUUACCCAUUGCCUCCUUUCCCUUCAGCAGCAGGAAGGGUGAGUAACCAAGGAAAGGCUCCAGUGUGGUAGGCAGCCUGGUCCAAUUACCUCUCCUAUCCUGGCCUGCUGCAAGGAGGGUCAUGUUUUGAAAUGUAAAAGACAGGAGUAAAAAAUCCUCCCAGUUCUUUUCCCCAGGAAAGGAUCAUGAAGGCAACUGGGAAGAGCAAUCAGUAUCCAUGUCUGGUCUUUCUCUUCCCUUCUGUGGAAUGACAUUUUUAUCCUUGCACCAUACAGAGCUUAGAGCUCUGCAUAAUUUUGUAAGCCUGGGAUGCAUGUAACUCUUUCUACAAUGGUAGUAUAAAGUCCAUCUCACCACAGCAAUUGUUUAUGAUAUCCUAAAGAGAAUUAAGCAACAAAAAUGAAUGAAACUUCAUGGCUUCUGUUAAUCAUAAAGUAUUUCUAUGCAAACAGUUGUGGGGUGGGGAGGACUGUUCACAUGUUUUCUUAUGGACUAUGUUAUAAAACUGCAAAUCACAUAGAAUAAGCAACAAAAAAUUAUGAUUCACCAUCUAAUUGUUGGUUUUCCAUAGCCUGAAAUCAGCGAUAUUCCUCUUAUAGAAGCAAACUGUUGCAUUUUCCUUGGCAAAAGUGGUUCUCUUCAUGCCAUCUGCCUAGCUGUACUUGAUUUACUUGCUUAUGAGAUAUAUAGUAGUCACAACUGUUCUUUCUUUGCUUCCCUUCAGGGAUGUAAAGAAAGACCCACACUCCCCUAUAUUAAUUUGUUAAAGUACAGGAUGGCUUAGUCACACUUCUGUAAAGCUUAUCUGUCUAGAAGCUUUAGAAUAUCACCGUACACAAAAAUUGUACAACUGAUCCUACAAGAAUAUUUACGAACAACAUAUUCAUGAACAGUGCACACAGUGCAUAUGAUAUAAUCCCACCCUUUUUACAGAAGCAAAAUACAGCUAUCAGCAGAAUUCAAUCUGACGCCUUUGUAUACAAAUCUAAACCCUUUGUCUAUUUUCCUAGCAGUAGAUUGAUGUGAGACACCAAAAGAAAUAGAAGUCAUUGCCUUUCCAGUCUGUCAGGCCAACGAUCCACAAAUAAAGAACCAUUCAUGCCAAGAAUUAAAAUAGAUUGGAGAUAUGUUUCUUUUGUCUUCAGUGUACUUGAAAAAUGGAGCCCAUUAUGGAAAUCUGUGUAUGGAUUGGGUAGCCUGUUUUGGUUUGUUUUGCCUUUUUUCUGGUAAUAAAUACAUUUUUUCAAAAUGUUCA